UACAUGCUGCGCGCGCUCCCGCGGACGGCAAUUAGUUUUCGGCGGGCGAUCACUUUUCGCCACGACACCUGUCUGCUCUGCUGUCCAGUCUUUCUGGCCACGAAAAAUCUGAUUUCAGGUCUGUUAACACCUUAUACAGUCUACAGCACACAGUUAAAUACGGGGACAUUUCCGGGACAGCUCAUUAAACCCGGGGACUGUCCCCGGAAAACGGGGACGUCUGGUCACCCAUCCCACGGUCACGUCCGUGUUUUCUCCAGUUUUCACUGUUUCUGUAAAUUGGUGAAACAGCGCCCCCAUGGAUUGUAACGCCUGGUAACAGCAGCCUGUGUGGCCAGAGGUGGUAUUGCACUCGAGCAGUUGCGCCAGUCGUGUAGCAGGUGGAGGUGAUUACGGACGGUCAGACGCGUCACUGUGAGACUCUGAAUGAACAGGACUCUGGGAAUAAACGGUUACUUUAUUUAGCGAGUUAAGUUUGUAAUAUUAAUCAGACAACCAGCCGGGUCAGCGUACAGUGUUGCUAAUCCUGUCUGCUAACGUGUUGUGUUGGCUUGGUGAGCUAGCAGCGAUGGCGGGAGAAGUUCUGUUAGCAAACAAACAAAAUGGCGUCACGGUGACAGCUGCAGCGGCCGUUAACGUUAUCUGACUCGGAUAUGGAGCAAGUCCCCUCCAUGAAAGACUGAGGAUUGGACUAGUAUAUGCAGAGUCGGCAGCCGGUGCUUCUGGUUCCUCUUCCUGUGCAGCAGCAGAUCUCAGCGCUCCUCUGGACGGACGGGAGGACGGAGACCAGCGGCAGUCUGAGCGGGAGGAGGGACGGCCUGUGAGUCAGUCACAUCGUUAACCUUUUAAUGAAUGUUACACAAAAUAAAUCCCGUAAAACGACA